GUCGGUGGUGGGGGGGUUGGCAGCCUGGAUCUCGCUCCCCCUGUGGAGCAUAGACUGAGGAGGUGGUGUGUAGCUCACAGUGCAUAUUUAGCAUGAGGGUCUUGUUGGUGCCUGCGUAAAAGCUGAUUCCCACUCACUCGCACCCCUCGCACCCCUCACACAAGUGACGGAGAAGGCAUCAGCCCAGACCCAGAUCAACAGAGUGCCAUAAGAAGGGAUGUACGAUGACAUUAUCAACGAGAAACUCAACAUAUUCAGCUCUGUGGCCAUAAAUAUUUGAUUUGAAAAAAUUAACCGUGAGUGAUUUUUACAUUUGAGGGAUAAUAUUUGUUUUCACUUAAACCGACGGAAUACUUAGUUUCACUUUGUCUAGUGUGUGCCCUUUUGAAUUGACACAAUAGAUAAAAUACCUGAAUGCAAAUGUAUAACGGAAGGGUUUCACGGUAGUAGCCCAACUUUGAGAUUACAGCAAGACAAGGCAAUCUUCAACAUCCAGCAAGCUCAGACACAGCCAAAAUGUAUUGUUCAGUUGUCGAUCUCACAUAAACCCCCUCUGAUCCUAGACUGUGAUUCUGAAUGACUUCAUCCAUUUUAAGGUCUCAGUACAUGGAAACCUGCAUUGCUUGCAAUGAAAAGAAUAUGUCUGUUCAAUUCAAAUGAAUCUAAAAGACCUAGUUGGAAAGGAAACAAGCCUGCUGUUGGUAUUUCUGAACAGUCUGCUUGGUUGGCAGAUGACUCCCACUGUGUCCCUACAUUUUCCCAGUGAACAGCACACAAGGACAGAGUCUAUCCAGCCGAAAAACCGACUGUCUGUCCCUGUCUAAGCACCGCUCAAAAUCAACAAACAAGGACAGACAAACACAUGCCAUGUAGAAGAACUGAGUCUUAAAAGAUACAAGCACAGUCAUGCUAUACAACCACCACCACUCAUUCAUUUCAAAAAUCCAUACAAAGCAAAUAGCGAAAAACACAGACAAAACACCAACAUUACACCACUGGAAAAAGAAAUAUUGAACAGAGAGCUUUUAGAGGCAUGCACACUGAAAAUGGCACCCAUGGACUGAUAUUUGUAACAAAGGGUAUUGAUUUACAAAAUUACAUCGUAAUUACCCCUGCUCUAUCUCUAUCUCUCCCUCUCUCUGUAUCUGUCUCUCCCUCUUUCUCUCUCUGGGUGAGUAUGUGUGUCAGUGAAGGUUUUUGAAAAAGGUUGACUUGUUUUAACUGUGAACAGAACAAAACAAAGUUAUCCUACCAAGUCAACCCUAUAAUGAGACCAACGCGAUUGCAUAGAAGAACGGGCCGGUUUUUAUAGCCCUUAGUGAUGCACUCAAUCUUGACUGUCCAAAGGCUAUAGUCUCGCUGUCGAUGUCAGUGUUAAGCAGUGUUCAUUUCAUCUAUCAAUAGUCAAGAUUUUAUCAUCAACGAUGGAGGAAAAACAUAAUGGCAAACAUAGGCUAUAUAAAACAAAGACGGCAGAAGUUUCUAAAACACGUCAAAUGGAAACGCGCAGCUGUGAGGGAGAUCAGACGGCGGCGUGCGAAGCAGUGCGCUGAUGCGAAACUUCUAAAUUCUUUCACUGAGUACACCUAAUUAAAACAUCAUACAGUAUGUGUACGAUUAAUUCCACUAAAUAAAAUACAAACAAAA